rnacentral:lncRNA from 1 species
GGAACUUUAAUGACACACAGAAGGCAAGGCCAGGCAAGCUUUUAACUGAGCAGGAGAUAGAAAAUUCUAAAUUAAACACACUGUGCAAUAAAGGAAGUUUGACCUCACUUUACAGGAAGUGUUUAGGAAGACUGUGUAAGUUACAUGCAUGGAGGUGUGGCUAGGGCUACAUAGACCAAGUGAUUUAAUGCCUAAAUGGCAGAUAAUUUAGCAGUGAGAUUGCAGGGGUGUGAUCUAUACAACAUAACUGCUUCAUUAAGCUAAAGUUGUUUUGGUGACAAUAGUCUCCCUUUAACAAAAUUAUAAUUUAAAUGAUAUUCAGACAGAAACACUGGUGAUGCGAUGCUAUGUUUAAAUACAUUGUCAAAUAAGGCUCAAUAAGUCCAAAGAGUGAUUUUCAAAAUAUAAAGUAAUUCUUACAACCGUAGGCACCGCACGUCAUUCACACAUUCAGUACUAUUGGAGCAAUCAUCUUUUUCUCUCAGCAACAGAUCAGCUCCAGGCCCCACAGAGACCGGCAUUGAUACGCUUAAUUGUAGCUUUAUCAAUCUGCUCAGAGUCAAAAUCUGCAGUUAUAUACAAUGUGCAAAAAGAAGGUCAUAGACUAUGCUUAUUCCAGUCAUCAACGACUUGCUACAAUGAAACAUAAUAUCCCAUGUCAAAUAAAGACAUAUCUAAAAUAUUGUGCUUUUCUUGGGACCAGAGUUACAGAGCUGUAUCAACCCUCUCUCCUUCUACCUCUGGUUGAACUGCAAAGAGUGAACUUUUUAACCUUGGCAUUAUCAUUCUUUUGGCAGCAGUGAAAAUGCAGCAGAGUUUGAGAUUACAGCCAGGCUAGGCAAAACACACAGGUAAACAUUUACUCUGAAUGUGUGUGUGUUUCCCUCUCUGCUAGGGGAUCAGACUGUGUGUCUCAGCUUGUACAAGAUGCAGAGAAGGGACACUCAACGAAAAAUCAGUGUCAGGCAGAAAGCCAAAUGUUCUAAUCAAAGACGACCAUUGUAUCGCCAAAGAGAGUAAGCAAGCAUUGGGUUUUUAAAGGAUACAGAAAUAACUUAACAUGUAUUAUUAGGAUCUCCCUGAUGACUCUCCUGCUUUAAGUGUCUGAGAAUUGCUUGGUUUGAAGAGGUGAUUGACCGUGCCACCUCGGUGCACACAAUACGACAAUGGAUACAAAUUGUUUUCAUUAUUUUUUUGUGGGCAAUCUGGAAUUUGCUGUUCUGCUUAGAAAAUACAAAGAAAAUAAAAUUCUCUCUUCAGCAGAAGUACAUCUGGUCCUGGGUUAUAGGGUAUAAAGGUCUUAAUCCGCUCACCAAAGAGAAAUACAUUCUGCUGCACACAGGAAUGGGCUAGCAACAUAGAAUGCAUCAGAACAGAACAAAAAAAGAAUACAUGUUUUAAAAGUAAACUACAUGCACAUCUGGUUUUAUCGCACAAGAUAUUUAAAUAUAAAUUUGCACUGAAAAGUACUUAAACCGAUUAACUAAAGGCAGCAAACACGGUGUAUAGGGACCCCUCUAUGGCUAAGCCUCUAUUGCUGGUGAAAAAUGAUUCUUUUUUAAACUACUGUAAUUCAUUAAUAAUUGUAGUGACAUUUUAUAAGUAUUGCAUAUAUUGC